CCUACGGGGGGCAGCAGUGGGGAAUAUUGGACAAUGGGCGAAAGCCUGAUCCAGCCAUGCCGCGUGUGUGAAGAAGGCCUUCGGGUUGUAAAGCACUUUCAGUGGGGAAGAAAGCCUUGGGGCUAAUACCCUCGAGGAAGGACAUCACCCACAGAAGAAGCACCGGCUAACUCCGUGCCAGCAGCCGCGGUAAUACGGAGGGUGCGAGCGUUAAUCGGAAUUACUGGGCGUAAAGCGCGCGUAGGCGGUCUGAUAAGCCGGUUGUGAAAGCCCCGGGCUCAACCUGGAAACGGCAUCCGGAACUGUCAGGCUAGAGUGCAGGAGAGGAAGGUAGAAUUCCCGGUGUAGCGGUGAAAUGCGUAGAGAUCGGGAGGAAUACCAGUGGCGAAGGCGGCCUUCUGGACUGACACUGACGCUGAGGUGCGAAAGCGUGGGUAGCAAACAGGAUUAGAUACCCGUGUAGUC
rnacentral:rRNA from 1 species